UACGUAGGGUGCAGGCGUUAAUCGGAAUUACUGGGCGUAAAGCGUGCGCAGGCGGUUUCUUAAGUCAGAUGUGAAAGCCCCGGGCUUAACCUGGGAACUGCGUUUGAAACUGGGAGACUUGAGUGUGGCAGAGGGGGGUGGAAUUCCACGUGUAGCAGUGAAAUGCGUAGAUAUGCGGAGGAACACCGAUGGCGAAGGCAGCCCCCUGGGCUAACACUGACGCUGAGGCACGAAAGCGUGGGGAGCAAACAGG
rnacentral:rRNA from 1 species